UGUGAACAAAAGAACGAGAGAUAGCGAGAACAGAGAACAGAGAGAAAGAGGAGAGAAUGAAAGAGAGAGAAAUAAAAUUGUAUUAGGUUAAAACCCUAACACAUAGGGGCAUUUUAGUCUUAUCAUGGCUGGUAAGGGUGUCUCACUAAUUUAGAUUGGGUUAUGGGCUAUGAGAAAAGUCUUUAAAGUCAAUUGGGUUUAGUUCAAAAUAUUUUCCAAAUAA
rnacentral:lncRNA from 1 species